UGAGGGAAAGGCGAAAAGAACCCCGGCGAGGGGAGUGAAAAAGAACCUGAAACCGUGUACGUACAAGCAGUGGGAGCCCCACCACUAAGCCAGUGGUGAACUCCACAUACGCAUCCUUUGCUGAGGAUACGGUUAACGGAGCGAAAGCGACGUUCAACCGCAAAAGAAGCAGAGGGGGCUUAGUGGUGGGGUGACUGCGUACCUUUUGUAUAAUGGGUCAGCGACUUAUAUUCUGUAGCAAGGUUAACCGAAUAGGGGAGCCGGAGGGAAACCGAGUCUUAAUUGGGCGUUAAGUUGCAGGGUAUAGACCCGAAACCCGGUGAUCUAG
rnacentral:rRNA from 1 species